rnacentral:tRNA from 1 species
CGGAGUGUGGCACAGUGGAUAAGGAACUGCGCUUGUAACCGAAAGGUCGCAGGUUCGAUUCCCGACAAUGCCG